rnacentral:tRNA from 1 species
GAGUUGGUAUCUCAGUGGUAGAGUACAUGCUUCGUAUGUAAGAUGUCCUGGGUUCAAUCCCCAGCUUCUAACCCG